GCAUAAUCAUUAGUCUUUUAAUUGAAGGCUGGUAUGAAGGGUUGGAUGAGAUACAAGCUGUGUCAUAGAAAUUAAAAUUUGAAUUUACCUUUUUAGUCAAAAGGCUAAAAUAAUAUUAAAAGACGAGAAGACCCUAUAGAGCUUUAUAUAAUAAAUAUUUAAAUUAUUUAGAUUUUUAAAAUUUAAUUAUUUCUUUUAUAUUUUGUUGGGGUGACAAUAAAAUUUAUUAAACUUUUAUUUUUUAUUAACAUUAAUUUAUGAAUAAAUGAUCCAGUUUUAUUGAUUAUAAAUUUAAGUUACCUUAGGGAUAACAGCGUAAUUUUUUUUGAGAGUUCUUAUCGG
rnacentral:rRNA from 1 species